GCUUCUCCAAAUCUUGGUUCAGUCUGUAGAGCAGGAGACUCUUAAUCGAAAGGUUGUGGGUUUGAACCCCACGUUAGGCA